GUGGGCUAAAAAUCUUCCGAGGCCCUUUUUCGCUUCUCUUCUCGAGUAGAGCCCGGAUUUGGGGUUAAAACAACCCAAAAACCUUCAAAAAUUAAUGAGAAACACCAUAAAACUCAAGAAUCCAUUCGAAUUUCGGCCACCGAUUCUUGGCGGUGGCUUCCUCGAUCGUCCACAAUGUUGGAAAACCGAACACCGGCAAACGGUGGUGGAGGCAUGUGCCACUUGGUAGUGGUUGGAAGUGGGUGGUUGAGGCUUGCGGCUAGGGUUUCUAAUUUCUGAAAAUAGGUUGUGGGCUAGGGUUUCUAAGCUUUUGGGCUUCUUUUAGGUUUUAAUUUUUGGGUUGUAAUUGGGUUGGUAGCUUUGUUUGUAAAUGGACUUUUAAUGGGCAUUUUGAUUUUUUUCUUUA